CCUACGGGAGGCAGCAGUAGGGAAUUUUCGUCAAUGGGCGCAAGCCUGAACGAGCAAUGCCGCGUGAACGAGGAAGGUCUUCGGAUCGUAAAGUUCUGUUGAAGGGGAAAAAGAGCGGAGAGAGGAAAUGCUUUCUGAUUGAUAUUACCCUUCGAGGAAGUCACGGCUAACUACGUGCCAGCAGCCGCGGUAAGACGUAGGUGGCGAGCGUUAUCCGGAAUGAUGGGGCGUAAAGGGUGCGUAGGCGGCCUGCUAAGUCUGGAGUGAAAGGUACCGGCUCAACCGGUACAGGCUCUGGAAACUGGCGGGCUAGAGAGCAGGAGAGGGCGGUGGAACUCCAUGUGUAGCGGUAAAAUGCGUAGAUAUAUGGAAGAACACCAGUGGCGAAGGCGGCCGCCUGGCCUGUUAACUGACGCUGAGGCACGAAAGCGUGGGGAGCAAAUAGGAUUAGAUACCCGAGUAGUC
rnacentral:rRNA from 1 species